AGCGAACGCUGGCGGCAGGCUUAACACAUGCAAGUCGAGCGGGCCCUUCGGGGUCAGCGGCCGACGGGUGGGUAACACGUGGGAACGUACCCUUUGGUUCGGAAUAACGCUGGGAAACUAGCGCUAAUACCGGAUACGCCCUUUUGGGGAAAGGCUUGCUGCCGAAGGAUCGGCCCGCGUCUGAUUAGCUAGUUGGUGGGGUAAUGGCCUACCAAGGCGACGAUCAGUAGCUGGUCUGAGAGGAUGAUCAGCCACACUGGGACUGAGACACGGCCCAGACUCCUACGGGAGGCAGCAGUGGGGAAUAUUGGACAAUGGGCGCAAGCCUGAUCCAGCCAUGCCGCGUGAGUGAUGAAGGCCUUAGGGUUGUAAAGCUCUUUUGUCCGGGACGAUAAUGACGGUACCGGAAGAAUAAGCCCCGGCUAACUUCGUG
rnacentral:rRNA from 1 species